rnacentral:lncRNA from 1 species
AGCGGAGUCGCUGACCCCACUCCUCUCCCGCUGCCCCCAGCUGCGCUCGGGCCGCUGCAGCCUCUGCGCACCCCCACCCGCUUCCUGCCCCGUCCGCGAGGCCGCCCUGGAUCGCACCCGGUUCCUUCCUUCCUUCGUUCUUUCAGGCAACUCGCAUUCCUCGAGCGCCUGCGACGUGCCCUGCACAGGGCCUUCCCGGCCUUCCGAGUGUGGCCCCAGGCCCGCUGGGCUCCUCCGGGAAGCCUCUGCCCUCUCGAAGUCCUUCCCCACCUCCGCCCCUCUGUUCCAUGAGCUGUUUUGAAACUUCAUGCAAACCGGUGGGUGCUGCAGAAUUGGCCUCUUCCAGCCACAGCAGUAAUCCUGUUACGUUCUCUCUGUGAGUCUGGGAAACAUACAGACACUGGUUGAAACUUCAGCUUUGUCAUUUACCAGCUGUGCUAUCAC